rnacentral:rRNA from 1 species
CCUACGGGUGGCAGCAGUGGGGAAUAUUGGACAAUGGGGGGAACCCUGAUCCAGCGACGCCGCGUGAGUGAAGAAGUAUUUCGGUACGUAAAGCUCUAUCAGCAGGGAAGAAAAUGACGGUACCUGACUAAGAAGCCCCGGCUAACUACGUGCCAGCAGCCGCGGUAAUACGUAGGGGGCAAGCGUUAUCCGGAUUUACUGGGUGUAAAGGGAGCGUAGACGGUGCAGCAAGUCUGGUGUGAAAGGUCGGGGCCCAACCCCGGGACUGCAUUGGAAACUGUUGAACUGGAGUGCAGGAGAGGUAAGCGGAAUUCCUAGUGUAGCGGUGAAAUGCGUAGAUAUUAGGAGGAACACCAGUGGCGAAGGCGACUUACUGGACUGUAACUGACGUUGAGGCUCGAAAGCGUGGGGAGCAAACAGGAUUAGAUACCCUGGUAGUC